rnacentral:lncRNA from 1 species
GGAAGGGGGAGCGGCUCGGGUUGGGCGCUCCCCGCGCGGGGCGGUUGGCAGCUCAGUGCCUGGCUGCAGCUGGGCCUGGGCUGCCUGCCUGCCUCAGGUGGGUGCCUGCGGCAUGGCGGCCCUGGGGAAGGAGGGGAUGGAGGCACUGAAAGUUCAUGCUUAGCCCACGUUGUUGUGAGGAGACUGAGCUAAUCUGUAAGGUUCCACUGAGACAAGAACCUCUCCAAUUCUGCAAAUUUGAUCCGAGGGACAUUAAUGUUUGCAGAAAAGCUACUAACUUCAGCACAUGUUGGAUCUGCUCUUUAGACUACGGCAAACAAGCACAUACUUACUUUUGCAAUGGUGA